AGAGUUUGAUCAUGGCUCAGAGUGAACGCUGGCGGCGUGCUUAACACAUGCAAGUCGAACGAGAACGGCUCUAGCUUGCUAGAGUGUCAGCUAAGUGGCGCACGGGUGAGUAAUGUAUAGUUGAUCUGCCCCUUGGAGGGGGAUAGCCACUGGAAACGGUGAUUAAUACCCCAUACUCCUCAUGGUGUAAAGGCCAUGAGGGAAAUGUUUUUUCGCCAAGGGAUGAGACUAUAUCGCAUCAGCUAGUUGGUAGGGUAACGGCCUACCAAGGCAAUGACGCGUAGCGGGUCUGAGAGGAUGAUCCGCCACACUGGUACUGAGACACGGACCAGACUCCUACGGGAGGCAGCAGUGAGGAAUAUUGCACAAUGGGGGAAACCCUGAUGCAGCAACGCCGCGUGGAGGAUGACGCAUUUCGGUGUGUAAACUCCUUUUAUCAGGGAAGAUAAUGACGGUACUUGAG
rnacentral:rRNA from 1 species